rnacentral:rRNA from 1 species
UACGGGGGGGGCUAGCGUUGUUCGGAAUUACUGGGCGUAGAGGGCGCGUAGGCGGCGCGAUAAGUUGGGCGUGAAAGGCCCGGGCUCAACCCGGGGACUGCGCUUGAUACUGUCGCGCUGUGAGUCCGGGAGAGGUGAGUGGAACUCCGAGUGUAGAGGUGAAAUUCGUAGAUAUUCGGAAGAACACCAGUGGCGAAGGCGGCUCACUGGCCCGGUACUGACGCUGAGGUGCGAAAGCGUGGGGAGCAAACAGG